rnacentral:rRNA from 1 species
ACAGAGGGGGCAAGCGUUGUUCGGAAUUACUGGGCGUAAAGGGCGCGUAGGCGGCCUUCUAAGCCAGCUGUGAAAUCCCCGGGCUCAACCUGGGCACUGCAGUUGGAACUGGAAAGCUAGAGUAGGGUAGAGGGGUGUGGAAUUCCAGGUGUAGCGGUGAAAUGCGUAGAUAUCUGGAGGAACAUCAGUGGCGAAGGCGACACCCUGGACUCAUACUGACACUGAGGUGCGAAAGCGUGGGGAGCAAACAGGA